rnacentral:rRNA from 1 species
GUAGGUGGCAAGCGUUGUCCGGAAUUAUUGGGCGUAAAGCGCGCGCAGGCGGUCCUUUAAGUCUGAUGUGAAAGCCCACGGCUCAACCGUGGAGGGUCAUUGGAAACUGGGGGACUUGAGUACAGAAGAGGAAAGCGGAAUUCCAAGUGUAGCGGUGAAAUGCGUAGAGAUUUGGAGGAACACCAGUGGCGAAGGCGGCUUUCUGGUCUGUAACUGACGCUGAGGCGCGAAAGCGUGGGGAGCAAACGGGAUUAGAUACCCUGGUAGUCCACGCCGUAAACGAUGAGUGCCAAGUGUUAGGGGGUUUCCGCCCCCCUUAGUGCUGCAGCUAACGCAUUAAGCACUCCGCCUGGGGGAGUACGGCCCGCAAGGCUG